AUGCACACAAUCCACCCAUUAGAACACAACAAGAGCUAAAUUCAGGGUAUUUGUGAGCUGUUUGAUUGUGAAAAAUUGAAAGACUAUUUGACAGCGCGAGACUGUCUAAGGGCAGAAUAACAUCGAUCUCUCGAGCUCCAGAGGACGCUGAUUCUGGCAAGAACGAACAAAUCAAGAACAAGGUUAUUUCAAAAUACAUAAGCGAAUAUAAACGAAAACAGCCACGUGAAUAUAAACUGUUGAGAAAUAAAUCUGAAGUGGAUCAUGAUACUGGAUUUGAAUAUUAAAGUGACUGCAUUUACCAGCUGCUUUCUGUCUUCAAUUUUUAAUCUAUAAAAAAACAGAAAAAUCAUUCUUCUUGGCUGCUUUUUUUUUUUUUGUAUGUAUGUAUUCAUGUAUUUAUUAUUAUUAUUAUUAUUAUUAUUAUUAUUUUGCUCUAACAAAAAUUUAUCUAUAUUUAACUAAAUCGAUGACGUUAUUUUACAUUUGAUUUCUGCAUCCAAACACUUAUAAACUUAAAACAUGCACUAUUAAACUAUUGUUAGCAAUUUCUUUAUCGUCCAAUUUAACUGGUGUACACACUUUUAUUUUCAUAAUAAAUUAGUUUUUUAGAUUAUAGACAGUUACAGUGGUCUAUAAUAAAUAUUAACAGGUUUUGUUCAAGCUGCUUAAAAUGUUUGAAGUAGGCUAAUUUUUUUAAAUGUAAAUCCUAAAAAAAAUAAAAUAAAUAAAAAUAAAUAAAACAAACAAAACAAAAAAAAAUGUAGCAACUCAUAGUAAUCAUUCAACACUGCUUAAAAAUGUAAAUUGAAAAUUAAACUCAUGAUUAAGCAUGAAAUAAGAUACAGAAUCAGUAAAUAAGAUUUUAAUGUGGGUAUAUUAUCAAUAAACUAAUCAUUAAAUAUUUAUAAUCAUUCAAAAAAUAUUGGCCCCUUUCAUCAUGUU
ensembl:lncRNA